rnacentral:tRNA from 1 species
CGAGGCAUAGCUCAAUUGUAUAGAGCAACGGAAUUCUAAUCCGUAGGUUGAAGGUUAGAAUCCUUCUGUCUCGGCCA